UCGAGAAUCUUCCGCAAUGGACGAAAGUCUGACGGAGCGAUGCCGCGUGAUGGAUGAAGUGCUUCGGUACGUAAACAUCUUUUAUGAGUGAGGAAGUUUUGACGUUAGCUCAUGAAUAAGGGGUUCCUAACUCUGUGCCAGCAGGAGCGGUAAUACAGAGACCCCAAGCGUUACCCGGAAUCACUGGGUGUAAAGGGUGUGUCGGUGGUCAUAUUAGUCGCAUUUUAAAACCCAAGGCUUAACCUUGGAUCUGGAUGCGAAACGGUAUGACUAGAGGGCAAGAGAGGUUUGUAGAACUCUAGGUGUAGGGGUGAAAUCCGUUGAUAUCUAGGGGAAUACCAAAAGCGAAGGCAGCAAACUGGCUUGUUCCUGACACUCAAACACGAAAGCGUGGGUAGCG
rnacentral:rRNA from 1 species